AUGUCUUUUGAUAUAAAGGUGACUUCUAAAUGGGCUAGUAUUUUCCUGGAUUAUACCAAUUUAUUUGUCUCAUAUGUCUUAGGCAAAUUAUCAAUAUAUUUCCAAGCACUUUUCUGUCUUUUCUCAAGAGGAAAAAAUGUCACAAACAUGAGUUCAGGUCUCCGUCAUCCUCCAAUAUCUCUCUCCCUGAAUCGGCUUCAUCUUGUAGAUGAGAAAAGUGACUCGGCCAACACGAUAGUGCUAUCGAAGGCUCACUCAGAAUUGAAGGCUAAUGCCUAUACCACUGUCUGUGAUCAAUGACCAUCGUGGGAAGACGGAGGAAGGUCGGGGGGCAAGCAGGCCUGGGCAUCGGGUGCAAAUGAGAGGCAGUCAGGAAGCCUGGGUGCCAGUCCUGGCCCUGCCAGGGAUGGACUUUCUCAGAGACCCCAGGGGCCGAACUGGCCAUGUCGAGCAAAUAAACCAAACCCUUUGAAAAUGACCUUCA
rnacentral:lncRNA from 1 species